UUAAAAAGCUCGUAGUUGGAUUUCUGCUUGAGAGGGACGCAGGCGUCAUUGACGUUUAGUCUGACUUCUCGUGCUCCUGUCGCGAACCACGUUGCUCUUAAUUGAGUGGCGUCGGGAUCGAUUCGUUUACUUUGAGGAAAAUAGAGUGUUCAAAGCAGGCUUACGCAUCUGAAUAAGUUAGCAUGGAAUAAUGAUAAAGGACUUUGGUUCUAUUUGUUGGUGUUCGGAACUGAAGUAAUGAUUGAUAGGGACAGUUGGGGGCAUCAGUAUUUCGAAGCGAGAGGUGAAAUUCUAGGACCUUCGAAAGACUAACCGCUGCGA
rnacentral:rRNA from 1 species